rnacentral:rRNA from 1 species
CCUACGGGUGGCAGCAGUCGAGAAUCAUUCACAAUGGGGAAACCCUGAUGGUGCGACGCCGCGUGGGGGAAUGAAGGUCUUCGGAUUGUAAACCCCUGGCAUGUGGGAGCAAAUUAAAAAGAUAGUACCACAAGAGGAAGAGACGGCUAACGCUGUGCCAGCAGCCGCGGGAAUACAGAGGUCUCAAGCGUUGUUCGGAAUCACUGGGCGUAAAGCGUGCGUAGGCUGUUUCGUAAGUCGGGUGUGAAAGGCGCGGGCUCAACCCGCGGACGGGACAUGAUACUGCGAGACUAGAGUAAUGGAGGGGGAACCGGAAUUCUCGGUGUAGCAGUGAAAUGCGUAGAUAUCGAGAGGAACACUCGUGGCGAAGGCGGGUUCCUGGACAUUAACUGACGCUGAGGCACGAAGGCCAGGGGAGCGAAAGGGAUUAGAUACCCGUGUAGUC